rnacentral:snoRNA from 1 species
GUUGCAUAUCAUUAGAGCUGAUUAUAAAGUUUUAAAAUGUAAUCGGUGUCAAGAAUAUGCAAUAUCAAUUGACACAUUUACUUGUCUUUGGUUUGUUCUAAUCACUAACGUUCUGAAGAUUUCUUAUGUGUCGACAACU